rnacentral:misc_RNA from 1 species
GAUGAAGAACGUAGCGAAAUGCGAUAAGUAAUGUGAAUUGCAGAAUUCAGUGAAUCAUCGAAUCUUUGAACGCACAUUGCGCCCCCUGGUAUUCCGGGGGGCAUGCCUGUCCGAGCGUCAUUACAACCCUCAAGCUCUGCUUGGUAUUGAGUCCAUGUCAGCAAUGGCAGGCUCCAAAAUCAGUGGCGGCGCCGCUGGGUCCUGAACGUAGUAAUAUCUCUCGUUACAGGUGCUCGGCGUGCUUCUGCCAAAACCCCAAUUUUUCUAUGGUUGACCUCGGAUCAGGUAGGGAUACCCGCUGAACUUAAGCAUAUCAAUAAGCGGAGGA